AAAAAUUCUGACUACCCUCAAAUAUACAAAUGAUUCUAGUCUUCCCUGAUUUCUAAAAGGUCCUGAUACCAAACAUGAACCUGCAUUUUCAUCCAUCUUUGCAACCAGUAUUGAUAGAGUGGCUACUGUGACUUGCGCUGAGCUGGGUGGGCAUGCUUUAGGCACCCAGGGAAGCAAGGCAUGGUCUCUCACCUCAAGGAGCCCACCCACUUCCAGGAGAAACAGGUCUGUCCACUUGAAACUGCCCUGGUGUGAUGCAUGGCUUGCUGGAGGCAUGGAGAAGUGGGAAAAUUCUAACGUGAUUCGAGUUGGGACCUACUCAGAGAAUGGUUCAUAUAAGGAAGAAUAAGUACCCCGAUAUGGGUGGAUAAUUUCUCACAAGAGACAUAACUUGAGCAAAGAUACACAAACAUAAAAAGUAGCUUUGCCACUUCAUUCUUGGGCCCACGCUGAAGAACCAGUCUUUUUCUGAAACAUUGCUAAGAAUGUGGCAGAAGGAAGAGAUAUGGCAGAACUUCAUCAUGGCCCUGACAAACUCUGCUCUGAAAACCUUCAUGAUGGUGCUAAAAACUGACUCCCCCUGAGAGUUCCUUGGCUAAAUGAGUCACUUGGCCAAGCCUGACAUCCUCAGAGUGGGAAAACAAUCUUCCCAAAAUAAGGGCACCAUAAAUUACAUAGCCAAACCUCAUGUCAGUAGAAUGGCAGGUAAAAUCCUCCCACAAGGAGCAGCAUAUAUUUGGAAAUAAAAA
rnacentral:lncRNA from 1 species